AUUGAACGCUGGCGGCAGGCCUAACACAUGCAAGUCGAGCGGAUGAAGGGAGCUUGCUCCUGGAUUCAGCGGCGGACGGGUGAGUAAUGCCUAGGAAUCUGCCUGGUAGUGGGGGAUAACGUCCGGAAACGGGCGCUGAUACCGCAUACGUCCUGAGGGAGAAAGUGGGGGAUCUUCGGACCUCACGCUAUCAGAUGAGCCUAGGUCGGAUUAGCUAGUUGGUGGGGUAAAGGCCUACCAAGGCGACGAUCCGUAACUGGUCUGAGAGGAUGAUCAGUCACACUGGAACUGAGACACGGUCCAGACUCCUACGGGAGGCAGCAGUGGGGAAUAUUGGACAAUGGGCGAAAGCCUGAUCCAGCCAUGCCGCGUGUGUGAAGAAGGUCUUCGGAUUGUAAAGCACUUUAAGUUGGGAGGAAGGGCAGUAAGUUAAUGCCUUGCUGUUUUGACGUUACCAACAGAAUAAGCACCGGCUAACUUCGUG
rnacentral:rRNA from 1 species